rnacentral:rRNA from 1 species
AUGGCAGCGCGGAGGUGGCUCCUCUGGCCGGGAGGGACCACGCUGGAGCAAUUCAAGGAGUGGCUGAAGCAGUUCGACCUGGACGACGGCGACGGCCGGAUCAGCAAGGCGGAGCUCCGCCAGGCCAUCCGCCGCCGGGGCUGCUGGUUCGCCACCCUCAGGGCUGGCCGAGCCCUCCGCCACGCCUACAGGGACAAGAGCGGCUACAUUGAAGACGCCGAGAUUGAGAAUGCAGAAAGACCUCGGCAUGAAGAUCUCUGCCUGUGA